AUACGGGGGGUGCAAGCGUUAAUCGGAAUUACUGGGCGUAAAGCGCGCGUAGGCGGUUAGUGAAGUUGGAUGUGAAAGCCCUGGGCUCAACCUGGGAACUGCAUUCAAAACUAGCUAACUAGAGUAUGGUAGAGGGUAGUGGAAUUUCUAGUGUAGCGGUGAAAUGCGUAGAUAUUAGAAGGAACACCAGUGGCGAAGGCGGCUACCUGGACCAAUACUGACGCUGAGGUGCGAAAGCGUGGGGAGCAAACAGGAUUAGAAACCCCGGUAGUCC
rnacentral:rRNA from 1 species